rnacentral:rRNA from 1 species
GUGGGGAAUAUUGGGCAAUGGGCGCAAGCCUGACCCAGCAACGCCGCGUGAGGGAAGAAGGUUUUCGGAUUGUAAACCUCUGUCGCAAGGGACGAAAGCAAUGACGGUACCUUGUGAGGAAGCCCCGGCUAACUACGUGCCAGCAGCCGCGGUAAUACGUAGGGGGCGAGCGUUGUCCGGAAUUACUGGGCGUAAAGGGUGCGUAGGCGGUUGCUUAAGUUGGAUGUGAAAUACCCGGGCUUAACUUGGGGGGUGCAUUCAAAACUGGGCGACUAGAGUUCAGGAGAGGGAAGCGGAAUUCCUAGUGUAGCGGUGAAAUGCGUAGAUAUUAGGAGGAACACCAGUGGCGAAGGCGGCUUUCUGGACUGACACUGACGCUGAGGCACGAAAGCGUGGGGAGCAAACAGGAUUAGAUACCCUGGUAGUCC